UGAGGAAUAUUGGUCAAUGGGCGAGAGCCUGAACCAGCCACGUCGCGUGAAGGAAGACUGACCUUACGGUUUGUAAACUUCUUUUGUAGAGGGGUAAUGGCAGAUACGUGUAUUUGCGUGAAAGUACUCUACGAAUAAGCAUCGGCUAACUCCGUGCCAGCAGCCGCGGUAAUACGGAAGGUCCGGGCGUUAUCCGGAUUUAUUGGGUUUAAAGGGAGCGUAGGCUGUCUAUUAAGCGUGUUGUGAAAUAUACCGGCUCAACCGGUGGCUUGCAGCGCGAACUGGUCGACUUGAGUAUGCAGGAAGUAGGCGGAAUUCAUGGUGUGGCGGUGAAAUGCUUAGAUAUCAUGACGAACUCCGAUUGCGCAGGCAGCUUACUGUAGCAUAACUGACGCUGAUGCUCGAAAGUGCGGGUAUCAAACAGG
rnacentral:rRNA from 1 species